GGUAUUAAACAAGUUGCAAUCUCUGUAUGUUGGUUCUCUCCUUUUCAGGUGCAGGCUCAAACUAGAAUCCACUGAAUGCCCAAGCUUGCCAAUUGGAAAACUUCCAUUAUCAGCAGGUGCAACCAGGAAACUGACAAAAGAAACAUGAAGAUCAUAAAUUAUAGUGUUGACUUCUGGCUCUCCCUCUUAUCUUCUGCACAACUGAAGAACAAUUCACGUAAAUAACUUCGAUGUCUGAAUUAAAAUUUGAUUUUUAAUUUGCAUUCAAAAGUCAAAAAUGUGCAGGUGUUACUGAAACCACUGGUGUGUGACCAAAAAGUUUUUCCACAUUAAGCACAAAGAAAGGAAUGUCCUUUGGUUGGUGAUUACAACAGCUAUUCAUAAAGCCUGCCUCUGCAGUUUUGCUUCUGGAUAUCAAUAAGGAGACCACCUCUCAGUCUGAUUGCCUUUUACACCUUCCGUCUCAUUGCCUUUCACAUAUUGGAUAAACAUUUGUCCCCAGGACAGACCACAAAGUCUCUCUCUGAGUUAUUCAGGCAUUCAUAGCAACCAAAUCUGAUCGCUGCAAGGCAAGGUAAUCAGUUGCUUAGCAGCUGGUUGCCACAGUGGCAAACUCCACCAGUUGAUCAAGUUUUGGUUGAUUUGGGUGAAUGGCACUGGCAGAAGCGUCCUUGUUCUGGAAGGGGCAGUAUGGGAUGGUGGAAUAGGAGUUACCAAACUGGAUUCAAUUUUUACUGAACCUUCUACCAACUGGAUGGCCUUGGACUGUUUCUCGGCCUCUUUGAAUUUGAAUUUCCUUAUCUGCAAAAUGGAAAGACAGUAAAACCUACUUUGUAGAUUGUUGCAAUCAUCUGGGAUCACCUGUGUAAAAUACCAUCACAGAGCUUGGCACACAGAAGCCACUCGGAAAAAGGUAGCUAUUUUCUAAAACUCCUCCCUCUUCCAAUCUGUCGUCUCACUGCUGUCAAAUGAUACCCUUCUCAAAUGCUACUUUUAUUUCGUUCUCUUCUAUUGGCAGUCCUACCU
rnacentral:lncRNA from 1 species